rnacentral:rRNA from 1 species
AGAGUUUGAUUCUGGCUCAGAACGAACGCUGGCGGCGUGGAUAAGACAUGCAAGUCGAACGAGAGAAUUGCUAGCUUGCUAAUAAUUCUCUAGUGGCGCACGGGUGAGUAACACGUGAGUAACCUGCCCCCGAGAGCGGGAUAGCCCUGGGAAACUGGGAUUAAUACCGCAUAGUAUCGAAAGAUUAAAGCAGCAAUGCGCUUGGGGAUGGGCUCGCGGCCUAUUAGUUAGUUGGUGAGGUAACGGCUCACCAAGGCGAUGACGGGUAGCCGGUCUGAGAGGAUGUCCGGCCACACUGGAACUGAGACACGGUCCAGACACCUACGGGUGGCAGCAGUCGAGAAUCAUUCACAAUGGGGGAAACCCUGAUGGUGCGACGCCGCGUGGGGGAAUGAAGGUCUUCGGAUUGUAAACCCCUGUCAUGUGGGAGCAAAUUAAAAAGAUAGUACCACAAGAGGAAGAGACGGCUAACUCUGUGCCAGCAGCCGCGGUAAUACAGAGGUCUCAAGCGUUGUUCGGAAUCACUGGGCGUAAAGCGUGCGUAGGCUGUUUCGUAAGUCGUGUGUGAAAGGCGCGGGCUCAACCCGCGGACGGCACAUGAUACUGCGAGACUAGAGUAAUGGAGGGGGAACCGGAAUUCUCGGUGUAGCAGUGAAAUGCGUAGAUAUCGAGAGGAACACUCGUGGCGAAGGCGGGUUCCUGGACAUUAACUGACGCUGAGGCACGAAGGCCAGGGGAGCGAAAGGGAUUAGAUACCCCUGUAGUCCUGGCAGUAAACGGUGCACGCUUGGUGUGCGGGGAAUCGACCCCCUGCGUGCCGGAGUUAACGCGUUAAGCGUGCCGCCUGGGGAGUACGGUCGCAAGAUUAAAACUCAAAGAAAUUGACGGGGACCCGCACAAGCGGUGGAGUAUGUGGCUUAAUUCGAUGCAACGCGAAGAACCUUACCUGGGCUUGACAU